CACUCGCCAACAAAAAGGAAAAUCAGGUCCUGCAGGGCUGGAUUCGGGCGAUCCUCAAUCACUUUUGGUUCUCAUGCUCAUCUUGUGGUGAGAGUGCUGAGCGACGGUGGACCUCAGUCCUCCACCACAUCUGUGGGGAGCACACAUGGGAGCAAGAUGGAAGAAAGUGGGCAUGCCCUCACCCUGCUCUCAACCCAGAUCAGCAAAGGACAAAGCGAUGGCUCCAGCCAGAGUCUCAAGUGUUCAAGUCUUUACGGAAUAUUGUUGAAGAUAAAAGACUUCUGAAAGACCUUGAGCAGAUGACUCGCUUCAAACAUACAGG
ensembl:lncRNA